CCUUCGGGUCGUAAAGCUCUGUUGCGAAGGGAAAAAGGAACGGAAGAGGAAAUGAUUUCCGUUUUGAUGGUACCUCGCCAGAAAGUCACGGCUAACUACGUGCC
rnacentral:rRNA from 1 species